GAGGAAUAUUGGACAAUGGGGGCAACCCUGAUCCAGCCAUGCCGCGUGAGUGAAGAAGGCCUUCGGGUUGUAGAGCUCUUUCAAUAGUGAAGAUAAUGACGGUAGCUAUAGAAGAAGCCCCAGCUAAAUUCGUGCCAGCAGCCGCGGUAAUACGAAUGGGGCAAGCGUUGUUCGGAAUCACUGGGCUUAAAGCGUGCGUAGGCGGUUAUGAAAGUCAGAAGUGAAAGCCCAGGGCUCAACCCUGGAACUGCUUUUGAAACUCCAUAACUAGAAUCCGGGAGGGGUCAGUAGAAUUCCUAGUGUAGAGGUGAAAUUCGCAGAUAUUAGGAGGAAUACCAGUGGCGUAGGCGACUGACUGGACCGGCAUUGACGCUGAGGUACGAAAGCGUGGGUAGCAAAC
rnacentral:rRNA from 1 species